AUAUCACUGCCCAGCCCAGCCCAGCCCAGCCCAGCUCAUACCUCAUAUCUUAUAAGCUGAAAAGAGAGAGCUCCACGCAGGCAUUGGAUGGGAGCUGGGCCCGUGAGCAGGUCCCAGUGGGCUUUGGAGACUUGGGUGAGGGGCCGGGAUGGCUCGUUCCCUGUGGAGUUUGUGAAUGUGGAUUGUGUUGUCUUUCCUGAAUGUUUGUGUAUGUGGGUUUAUUGCUGUGCGGUUACUAACCCUGCUUUCCCUUGUUCCCCAUUUGCUCUGGGGGAGGACAGGUGCACGGAGGAGGAUGGGCUGGGCUGCAGGGAACUGUGCUCUGCUGCCAAGCCACUCCCCACAUCCCCACCGUGGUCCUGCCCUCCUUCCAUUGUAGAUGCAGCAUGAACUGGCAGGAAACCUUUCAGAGCCUGGCAUUUCUCAGUCUAUGCAACAUCCUCAGACCCAGCUCUGUCCAUCCUCCUCUCCCUCCCCAGCCACCGGCACAUGCGUGUGCGUGCACGCAUGGCCUGCUCAGAAGAUUUUUAUGUUUUUUUGUGUCCUCCUUCCACAUUUGCUUUCUUUAGUCAUCCAAACACUGUUUUCUUUCAUUUCCAUCACAUUCCGCCCACCCCGCUUCGUUGUAGUUCUUUACUCUUCUCCCAGAUUCUUAAAUCUUGCCCCUAGGUGAUUUUAUUUUUCAUUCCUGACACUUGUGGGUGCUGGGGAAAAUGCCCAGAAAGUUGAAUCAGAAGAGGAUUGCAUUUUCUGUGAGCUGCGCCAACGCCCUCCUCCGCCUGGACCCUGGCAUCAGCACAGGCUGCCGCAGCUGUUGGGACAUCUGGCCAACUGUGUGACGUCUGACCCACAGAUCCAGCCAACCACGGAUGGAUCUGAUCAGGAGAAAGGAAUUCCACCUGAGAGCGCACGUCUGCUUCUGCCUCCGGACAGCGCAGUCACGGGGCAGC